CCCACUUUUGGGAUUACAUUAGUUACCUUGUUGUUGUUGUUGUUGGCCUUGUCAUUGUUUGUGGGUUGCUGGUUGGGCUUGGGAUGUUGAUUCCAGUGUUUCAGUAUGUAGGUUGAUCAAAUUGCAGAUUUUCAUUGCUGGAAUAGGAGAUACAGAAAUUGACGAUAUUGGAAGUCUUCAAGUGUAUUGGUUUCCUUAAGACUGGAAUAGCAUAUAUAACUAGUCAUGAUGAUACUGAAGUUCCUCUGGGCGCAUUGCGCGCAACUGCUGUGAAGCUGUUGGAGGUCGAAGAGAGGAACAAUGAAAUACACUCGGAGAAAAUUACACUCGGAUAAAAUUGAGUUAGAAAGACAAGCUAACGCGAUCAUAUUGAUCUGUACAAGGGCAUCUUCACUCUUUUGGUAUUCUCAGUAGGAAUUAAUAUCAACCAAAGUACCAUCUUGUCCUGACUUUGCCAUAGUAUCUAUUCUGUCCGCGUGUAUGUUUUGGUCUGGAAUGUUCAUUUUCAUGGUCUCUUUAAAGAUGAGGAUUACAAUCACAAACAGUUCGAUCAGGCUUUGACCGCAAGGCAUAUAAGAGUAACAGUAGAAGCAAGAAUUCUGAUGGAAUCGGAAAAUAACAGGAAAAGAAGGCUAGCAGCAAAUGUUCUGAAUAACAGUGACGGUCCAGUCAUAAGCAUGGAUUUUUUUAUCAUCAGAACUAAGGCCAUAAAUGAUGCUCCCGAAUUUUCUGAUUUUGAGAAAGUUUAUCAUAAGAAGAUCAAUCUGUCUUGUGUGGUCGGAAGUGUUGCUAUCUUCCUGCUAUGCUGGUCCAUACAUACUUAUAUAUAUAUAUAUAUAUAUAUAUAUAUAUAUAUAUAUGGUGAGUAUUCUCCUUUUCUAUGUAAAUGAAUUUGAAGUCUAUUUUCGAGCAUGCUAAAGAGUGAUAUCGUGAAAUGUAGCCCUUUUUAUACAAAAGUGCAAUUCAUUAACAAGACUAACCAUCUUUUGGUUUUUCAUUUACAGAGCUGAAUCAAGGACAUGAUUCUUCAUCACCUGACAAGCUUAGCAUGCCAUAUAAGGCUACAUGAAAAUUAAUAGUCGAAUACAAAACUAUGUUUUGGUGUUCUGGUAUAUGCCAACUUUGAACUUUCUCGAUUUGUAGCGUUUAAUUUGCAAAUGUUUGCUAGGAACUGGCCAAGUUAAUUUUGGGAGCUUCCUUUCAAUUGCCUAUUUUGAUUAUGAAACUUAUAGUAGUUCGAACA